UCCCAGCAUGGGGCCGUGCUGCACCACGCAGACAUCCCCUGAGAGACCUCACUGCUCCUUGGGAUUCGUCCCCAUAACCCUGCACCUGGGGCUGCACUGCCCACGCUACGCCUCACUCCCAGCCUGCUCCUGGUGCCUGCACACACUCUCCUGGGACGCCUUUGGUGCAAGGUCUGACUGAGUCCAGGUCUACUGCAGCCAGGAGAUAUAAGAGGUUCAAAGGCCUUGGGAGAACGGUCCCUAUUUCCCAUGGGCGGUGGCUCUGGCCGUGAUUCUGCCCCUUGUCGUUCUCCUGGGCAGUUUCUGCCUCUGGCGGCAGCACCGUGUGAAAGAGAGGCGCCGUGCAGACAAAGGUAACUUUUCUUCAUGGAUUUCCCUACGGAGGGAAGGGGGAGGUCUCAUGCUGUGCAGCUGGUGUCCCAGCAGGCCUUCAGGGCUCUCCUUGGAGAAGCUGUGUGUGAUGUGUGCUGAGGAGCUCCCCAAGAAACCUCAUCCCCAGCACCCCCAGCCUGCUGCU